rnacentral:lncRNA from 1 species
UGAGGUCAGAGAAACCCAGCGAUAACGACAGCCCUUAUUAAAUGGAGACAUGUAGUUGUUUAAUCCCCUUUAUCGUGGCUGGAUCCGCCCCUGAUUUUACAUGUAAAUCAAGUCCCGGUUUCUGUUGGCAUAACGGUAAUCACGUAGAGGGGUAAUUAAAAGCACGAGGAAUUAUAAAUAUACAAUUGAACAGGGGUCGAGUGCAUGGAGGAAUGGGAAUUAAAAU